CAAAUGCUAGUCAUGUUACAACAGCAGUGUAGUGAUCGUUCAUUAUAACGUUGACAACCACCUCAAGGCUAGGUGUCUACCACUUGGGCAUUGGUUAUUGCCAUAUAAACUCUCUUGGCGAGAGAAAACCUAAGUGAUUAAAAAGCAAGAAACCUUCUAGCCGCAAACUCUCUCCUCCUUGUCUCCUUAGCCGCAAGCUCUCUUCUCUAUGUCUUCUUCGAUUAUUCUUUUUUACCAUCAUAUAGUGAGCAUCAAGCCGCUGUGGUGUUGGAGUCAGCCAUUUCAUCCGAUCAGUGGUUGUAUCCCGAAAGCAAUAAUGGCAAAGAGUCUGGAUUGAUCUACUUCCAAAAUAAGGCCAUUGCACUCGAAAUUGCAGACAUUGUAAAAGGAGAAAUCAAGCCAAUAUGACAGAAGUUAACAAAGCUAAGGAAGAGGAACAAUUGGUGGCUAUGAUCACAAAGAAUUAUGAAGUCAAAGUGACUGAAAGCUGGUGGUUCAACUCAGGAGCAACGAGGCACAUAGGGUUGGACCGAAUAUGGUUCAAAACAUGCAAACCUUUCUAGCAUCACCAAGUUAUUCAUCUUGUUAGUUCAGCAACUACGAAUGUGGCU